rnacentral:lncRNA from 1 species
ACCUGUACAAAGCUAUGCUUUACAAUGUGGCUAAAGUUAUAUCCAUAAAAAAAGCCAAAAUAACUUUUGUGACUUCAGUAAAUCAAGGUAUUAGGUGAGCCAGAAUGAUACCCUGGGCAUUAAUAAACUAUUUUUAAUACUUCUAAGAUCUCAGGUAUGGGUCAUAAAAGGCAAACUACCUGCUUCCUGCAACUGCAUAUGUUGAUAAUAAAAUACACAUGCAGAAAUC